UUCUGUCCUUCCUCCAUCUCUACCAAAUCCCUGAGCAAGUGGGACUGGGGGGAGGUGAGAGGGUGAGAGGAAGGGGGAGGCAGCAGGCCUGAAACAGUCACAAUGAUGGGGAAAAAAAGAGUUAUUGGGAUGUUUUGUCUUCUAUGUCCCUAGACCCGUGGUCAGAUUUGUUUCUUAUUUGUGUUUCUGUCUAUUAAAUGUACUUUCUCUUAAGCCAGGACAUAGAUUUCUUAACGCUAUCUAUUUAGAAUUUGGCCAACUAUAUUUCUAUGCUACUUUAGACACUCAUUCUAACAAGAAAAUUUUUAAUGCGUUUUGUUGUUGUGAGCUUUCUGAUGACAACCUUUAUUUUGCUUAGAUGCCUCUCUUUUUAUAAUAAAAAGCAGCAGCCAGAUUCUAAGCAAAAAACAAAACAAAAACCAAAAACAACAACAACAACAAAAUGCCGCAGCUACUACGAGGUGAAGGGAAAUUGGGUUUGGGGUAAAAUGGAGCCCUUGCAGACCACAACGACACAAUGACAGGCGAGAGCAGGAGAAGCCGGGAGAUGCGAGAUGCCCCCAGCAGACACUGACGGAGCCCUGAGCGCACACGUGCUGGAUGCCAGUAAAAUCCAAAAUCACCCCAUUGGCUUUGUGACUACAGUCAAAGUGCGACAACAUGUGGCCAGAUAACAUUUUACAAUGCUAUUAUCAAGAUCAGUAAAUUGAGACCCAAAGAUGAGAAGUGAC